CGGCGGGUGGGCGGGGCUUCCACGGAGGCCUCCGUGUAGGCCGCAGUGAAGCCUGAACUCGAGUAGGGCCCAAGCCAGCCAGGAAGGGGGAGGCAGCCAGAGUGUUCUCUGCAGCAGAAGACCCCUUGGUGCCCUGCUUAACCCAGACCAGCAUUUUCCAGGGUUUGCAGCGGACGCCAGGUCAGCAGCUGCCACCCCUCCCAGGACCAGCGCCGCCACCCCCACGGAAGCCCCUGCCUCCAGUGGCAGCUACCGUCCGGCCGCUUCCACCCAUUCCCGGGCCAGCCGCAUUCCCCCCGCUGAAGCCCCUGCCUCCAGCUCCAGCCCUGCCCGGCAGGGAGUUUUUUCUGAGGUGUGAAUUCUCAUUCUAUCAUAGCAAAUGAGAUUUUUUUCAAUUAAACAACUCUCAUGACCCCACUUUCACUUUUUCACACUUUCCUUUACUAUGAAUAAUAUGAGGAAGUAAUCAAUUUAGCACACUUCACCUUAUGAAGACAAACCUCAUACAAAUAAAUUCACCAUAAUUCACCCCUCUGCCCAAUCACUCUUAAAUUGGGGAUGGGUGGUAGCCUCCACCCAUUAGGCACUAUCUACCAGCCCACCCCACUCCUUUGGGGCAGAUCCACUUUCUGCCCCCAAUCUGCCCCAAAGACACCCAAACUUCAAAAAUUCUCAAAAAAUCAGCCCUCUGCCCAAUCCCCCAGAAAUUGGGGUGGUAGCCUCCACCCAUUAGGCACUACCACCCCACCCCACUCUUUUGGAGCAGAUCCACUUUCUGCCCCCAAACUGCCCCAAAAUCACUAAAAUUCAAAAAUUCUCAAAAAAUCACCCCUUUGUUCAAACCCCCUGAAAUUGGGGUGGUAGCCUCCACCCAUUAGGCACUACUACCCCACCCCACUAUUCUGCCCCAGGCCCCACUUUCUGCCCCAAUAUGACCCAAUCUGCCCCAAAGACAUGAAAAUUUCAGAAAUUUACCAAAAAUCAGCCCUCUGCCCAAUCCCCCUGAAAUUGGGGUGGUAGCCUGCACCCAUUAGGCACUACCACCCCACCCCACUCCUUUUGCCCAGAUCCCAUGCUAUGCCCCCAAACUGCCCCAAAGUCACUAAAACUUUAAAAAUUCACCCAAAAUCAACCAUGAACCGAAUCACCCGGAUUUUUCAGGUCCGAAAUUCGGGUGAUUUGGCUUGUGCCCGAAAAAAAUUCGGGGGGGCAUCGGGGGUGAUUCGGUUCAGUCCCGAAUCACCCGAAAUUGUUCAUUUUGGGCACAGAUCGUUUCGGGCACACAAAUUUUUUGCACAUCCCUAGCCCUCAUGAUGUCUUGCCUGUAUGCCUGCCUCUAGCAACGGGCUUCCUGGGCAGCAUUUCAAUACCUUGAGCCUGGUCAAGUGCACAGGGCUUUUUAGAAAGAAACCUGGUGAACUUAAGACAGAAAGGAUCAGUUUGAGAUGGAUCAGUACCCUCCAGGCCGCGCUGUGUGGGUGUGAAACAAUAUGGUGGGAGAAGGAAUAGGACUGAUGUGAAGCCUACUUAAUUUCUCUAGACAUGUUCAUGCCCUGGUUUUAAAUCCUUCCAUCCCUCCUUUUAUUAUUAUAUACAUUUAUUAUUAUACUGUACAUACCAUUGCCUUAAAUUGUGCCAACCUAGAUGUGUGGGGCUUAUUCGUAGUGGUUGGGAUUUCGAUGUAUAUGCUCAUGCUACGAUGCAACUGGAUGUGACCUGACUGCUGUGAAAUCGCCUUCCACUUCCAUUGGUUCAGCAUAUUUAAAGCAGCUGACCUGCUUCUAUGUCUUCAUCCUAGUUGACCAUCCACACGUAUUACAGAACCUGCAUGAGUCUUCUCAAAAAGAAACCUGGUUUACUAGCACAGGAAGGACCAGUUUGAGCAGGUUCAUCAGUGACCUUGAAGGUGGUCUUUGUGGGCAUGAAGCCAAAUGUGGAGCAACUGAAUUGGUUCAUUUUCUUGUAUCAUUGUGAAGCCUACAUAAUUUCUCAAGAUAUCCUUGUGCCCUGAUUUUAUAUACUUGUUUCUCUCACUAUAUUACUUUAUCGAUUUGAUGAUUAAUUAUCUAUUUUCAUCAUUUUUAUUAUUACUACUAUUCUUAAUAAUGUAGUGUUGUUCUUGAAUAAAAGCAGUUACUAAAAGGAAAA